CCUACGGGUGGCUGCAGUGAGGAAUAUUGGUCAAUGGACGCAAGUCUGAACCAGCCAAGUAGCGUGCAGGAUGACGGCCCUCCGGGUUGUAAACUGCUUUUAGUUGGGAAUAAAGCGGGCUCGUGAGCCUCGUAUUGUAUGUACCAUCAGAAAAAGGACCGGCUAAUUCCGUGCCACCAGCCGCGGUAUUACGGAAGGUCCGGGCGUUAUCCGGAUUUAUUGGGUUUAAAGGGAGCGUAGGCCGGCUUUUAAGUCAGCUGUGAAAGUCCGCGGCUCAACCGUGGAAUUGCAGUUGAAACUGGAGGCCUUGAGUGUACACAGGGAGGCCGGAAUUCAUGGUGUAGCGGUGAAAUGCUUAGAUAUCAUGAAGAACACCGAUGGCGAAGGCAGCAUGCCGGCUCCACACUGACGCUGAGGCACGAAAGCGUGGGUAUCGAACAGGAUUAGAUACCCUAGUAGUC
rnacentral:rRNA from 1 species